rnacentral:lncRNA from 1 species
AGCCAAAACUAUGAUAGAAAAACAAGGGAGUGGAAUGUUUAAAAGCCAACACAAGUAGAAGAAGAGCACGGCAGGUCUGUGCUGGUUUACUAUGCUGUGUCUUGCCUGCUACCAGUUUCCUUCCCUUUCCUUUGCAGUCUGCGUUACCAGGCCUGUUACUCCAACAACCACUCAGAACAAGGUAAGCUCACUCUGGACAAUAAAUCAGCAGCAACCCCAUACCAUGUGUACCCCCAAAAUAAGAUACAUCAGGCCUUCAACCAACUUGGUUCUCUCAAAUCUUUUCAGUGAUUAUCAUAGCUUUCAGUCCCAAAGCUUCACACACUUGUCUGGUGCCAGCGUGUGAAUGCAAAAUCAAAAAAUGUCUAUAGGAAAUGAGUCUGUCCCAUUUAUAGAACUUUUUAAAAACAAAAAUAUUUAAUAAUAACCAAUUAGAGAAAUUAAAACAUUUCGUAUCACGAAAAAAGACCCAAAAUAGCAGGAAGCAUAAAGCAUCUUUCAUUUGCAUUUUCCUUUGUAAAUAUGACACUGAAAACACAGCAUUUUAAAAAUGCAAGCAGUGCUUUUUCGAAUCUUUUCUGGUUUCUAUUGCAGUCUGUUGAAAGUGAGUCAAGUGUUCUAUCAAGUCUUCAUAUGAUUUUGUUGCAUUAACACAUAGUAUACCUAACCCAUUUCUCACAUGUUCAUUGUAGAAAAAUAUUCACAAACUACAACUUUUGCAAAAGGUCUACACUCUGGAUUUAAGCACAGUAAACACAAUAAUAAAACCUGUAUAAAUAUCCCUGGACACAGAUGUGUUAGUUUGGAAGAGUCAGAAAUAUAUAGAAAUCACUGUCUCACUUUAUCAGGGCAUUAUGGUACCUGCUUAUCUAGGAAGAGAUCCAGUUCCCUCCAAUAGCAUCAGAAUCUCUUAGGCAGCAAGUCUUUAGC